CAUGUUCACUGGUUCUCUCUUUCAAACCUCCAUUCAAAAGCCUCUGCAUGAAAGGCAGACCGCAUCCCCCAGGGCAACUAAGUCUGCCAUCUGUAACUCCAUGGGCUGAAGCUGAAGAUGUUUCCAAGUCUACAGCCAUUCCAACAGAUGUCAGCAGCUAUGUUCUUGGUGUGGUGCCCCUCCCGUUACAAUGAAAUGACUGGAAACCUGGCACAAGUUGUUCCAGAGGCCAGAACCAGGACGCCCAACUAGAGAGAGAACAUUUGGCAAAAAAUCAGUAAACCAAAGUGACCAACAAGAACAAAGCCAGUGAAGAGGAUGGCAAGGGGACACCUUAUCAAUAGUACAG